rnacentral:rRNA from 1 species
AACGAACGCUGGCGGCAUGCCUAACACAUGCAAGUCGAACGAUACCUUCGGGUCUAGUGGCGAACGGGUGCGUAACGCGUGGGAACCUGCCCUUAGGUUCGGAAUAACUCCCCGAAAGGGGUGCUAAUACCGGAUAAUGUCUUCGGACCAAAGAUUUAUCGCCUUUGGAUGGGCCCGCGUUGGAUUAGCUAGUUGGUAGGGUAAAAGCCUACCAAGGCGACGGUCCAUAGCUGGUCUGAGAGGAUGAUCAGCCACACUGGGACUGAGACACGGCCCAGACUCCUACGGGAGGCAGCAGUGGGGAAUAUUGGACAAUGGGCGAAAGCCUGAUCCAGCAAUGCCGCGUGAGUGAUGAAGGCCUUAGGGUUGUAAAGCUCUUUUACCCGGGAUGAUAAUGACAGUACCGGGAGAAUAAGCUCCGGCUAACUCCGUG